rnacentral:rRNA from 1 species
CCUACGGGGGGCAGCAGUGGGGGAUAUUGCACAAUGGGGGGAACCCUGAUGCAGCGACGCCGCGUGGGUGAAGAAGCGCCUCGGCGCGUAAAGCCCUGUCAGCAGGGAAGAAAAUGACGGUACCUGACGAAUAAGCACCGGCUAACUACGUGCCAGCAGCCGCGGUAAUACGUAGGGUGCAAGCGUUAUCCGGAUUUACUGGGUGUAAAGGGGGCGCAGACGGCGAUGCAAGUCAGGGGUGAAAGCCCGGGGCCGAACCCCGGGACUGCUCUUGGAACUGCGUGGCUGGAGUGCAGGAGGGGCAGGCGGAAUUCCUGGUGUAGCGGUGAAAUGCGUAGAUAUCAGGAGGAACACCGGUGGCGAAGGCGGCCUGCUAGACUGCAACUGACGUUGAGGCCCGAAAGCGUGGGGAGCAAACAGGAUUAGAUACCCGGGUAGUC